ACUCCCUGGCAAUGAACAAAGAGACACCAUGUUGGUGGUAGAGUUCUUACAUCAGUCAGGGACAGAACCGAUAGCAAUCCUCUGUUCAUCCUAGCUUGAUCCUGGUUUGGUGGCCAAAGCUGUCUUAUGCCUAGGACUCAUCA